AUCCUGUUAUACAUAUUUAUUAAUAACUAAUUACAACGUUCGCUAAUGACUGAUUACUAUAAUUGUUUUGCAUUCAUUUCCCUUAUAGGCCUUAUGCACAGGCGCACCACUUCUUUCCACUAAUACUAGCAGCAAAUAUUUUAGCAGCCGAUUGCCAAGUCAUUAGUCUUGGACUGACUUGUUUGGUGUGCCCAAUGGGAAAUAUUUCGCUUUCAGAGAACAAGAAAAACAGGUUUACUUGCAUUGCACUUAUUAAUUUGGGCAGUUAUUCAGUGUCUGGUAAGUUAAUGUUCAAGAAAAAAAUAUUAAUUUUUAUUAAAAUGUUCUAUUAUUUCAUGUUAAGGAUUACU